rnacentral:rRNA from 1 species
UGGGGAAUUUUGGACAAUGGACGCAAGUCUGAUCCAGCCAUGCCGCGUGCGGGAAGAAGGCCUUCGGGUUGUAAACCGCUUUUGUCAGGGAAGAAACGAGUUUCUCUAAUACAGAGACUUACUGACGGUACCUGAAGAAUAAGCACCGGCUAACUACGUGCCAGCAGCCGCGGUAAUACGUAGGGUGCAAGCGUUAAUCGGAAUUACUGGGCGUAAAGCGUGCGCAGGCGGUUAUGCAAGACAGAUGUGAAAUCCCCGGGCUCAACCUGGGAACUGCAUUUGUGACUGCAUAGCUGGAGUGCGGCAGAGGGGGAUGGAAUUCCGCGUGUAGCAGUGAAAUGCGUAGAUAUGCGGAGGAACACCGAUGGCGAAGGCAGCCCCCUGGGUCAAGAUUGACGCUCAUGCACGAAAGCGUGGGGAGCAAACA